rnacentral:rRNA from 1 species
UACGUAGGGUGCGAGCGUUGUCCGGAAUUAUUGGGCGUAAAGAGCUCGUAGGCGGUGUGUCGCGUCGGCCGUGAAAACCUGGGGCUCAACUCUGGGCGUGCGGUCGAUACGGGCAUCACUUGAGUUCGGCAGGGGAGACUGGAAUUCCUGGUGUAGCGGUGAAAUGCGCAGAUACCAGGAGGAACACCGGUGGCGAAGGCGGGUCUCUGGGCCGAUACUGACGCUGAGGAGCGAAAGCAUGGGUAGCGAACAGG